rnacentral:tRNA from 1 species
GAGAAGUUAGUUAAAUUUAAAUAAUAAAAGUUUGUCAAGCUUUAGUUACUGUUGUAGUACUUCUUU